GUAGGGAAUAUUGGGCAAUGGUCGGAAGACUGACCCAGCCAUGCCGCGUGCAGGAAGACGGCCCUCUGGGUUGUAAACUGCUUUUAUCUGGGAAGAAAAAGGCCAUGCGUGGCAAAUUGCCGGUACCAGAUGAAUAAGCACCGGCUAACUCCGUGCCAGCAGCCGCGGUAAUACGGAGGGUGCAAGCGUUGUCCGGAUUUAUUGGGUUUAAAGGGUGCGUAGGCGGCUGAUUAAGUCAGCGGUGAAAGACUCCGGCUUAACCGGAGCAGUGCCGUUGAUACUGGUUAGCUUGAGUGUUGGAGGGGUACAUGGAAUUGAUGGUGUAGCGGUGAAAUGCAUAGAUACCAUCAGGAACACCGAUAGCGAAGGCAUUGUACUGGCCAACAACUGACGCUGAUGCACGAAAGUGUGGGGAUCGAACAGGAUUAGAUACCCGUGUAGUCC
rnacentral:rRNA from 1 species